GGACCUGGGAUAUGGAUACCGUCAUCUUCCUGAUCCCACAGAUCCAGCCUGAGCCACAAAAGGCUUCUUUUGUUCCUCACAGGACUCUCCCCUCUGUGCUGCUGGAGAGAACAGGCCAUUCGGACUGAAGGUGACCUUGGAGAAGGUUCUGCGAAGCCUGGCUCAUUUCCAGCCGACUGAGGAAAAGCAGGAGACUGUAUCGGUCAACAGCGGAAGUCCUCAGCUCAGCUAGAGACAGUGUUCCAGCUGCAGUCUGUUACCAGUGUUCUUCAGUCCCUCCUUUUCUCUGUGCCAGCACAGACAGACGGAGCUAAGUGACAAGGGUCUGCGCCACCCCAGGUCACAGUCACUUGUGCUCUCACCGCCCGUGUAGAUGGGGAUGCGAGGCAAGAGAGCUCCUGCAGAGGGGGCAUAGCCUUUGGUUCGAGUGGAGAGCUGUUCUUUGAAAUCUUUUCAUGCCAAAGAGAAGGGAUACAACAGAGUGCCGGCCACCAUGUCCACGCUCUCAGAAAGAGGAAUGUUCUGGAAGCAAAGCAUGGCCUGAGUGGCUCUCGAGAUGUGAGCUCAGCUAAACUAAGACUUACUUCAUCCUUCAGACCUGCAGCCUCGGAGCUUCAGAGUGAGGCCUUGAAUGGCCCCACCAAUGGGAUAAAGAAAUAAUUGCUGGUGAUUUCAGUUGCCCUGUAGGUGAGGGAUCAAUAUAUCAGAGAGGACUGCUUACCAAACUUUGUACAGGAGUCUGGAAAUUUUGACUGUGUCUCCGAAGUGUGUAACAGUUAAUAGAUAGCAGAAUGUGAGCCUCUGUGUGGAUGGGUUUCUAUGCCCUUGGGAAUCCUGCGAGAUAAAUCUGUUUUCUCUUUUUAUUAUAAGACUUUUGUCACCAGCUGCACUUGAGUUUUCAUACAGAGAAACCCCCAAAUCACACCGCAUGAAGUGUCACAAAUCACACACGCGAUCUGUAGCCAUGCGUGACAAAGGGACCUCGGUUCAGCACUGAAGUUCUGCAGAAAGGCAUUUCACCUUAUCUCCUCAGAUCUUAUAUUUUUUUUCCUCAAGCCCUCAUUUCCAUUAUAUUCAUUUUCGGAGUGGCACAUGGAGGUAACAUUUUUCCAUAGCCAAUUAUCUUGGGCCGAUCUCCGGCUCUUUCCUUACUCCUUCACAAAAUGCAGGCAGUAGCUGAUGCUAUGUUUCACUCAAAUUAUCCGUUGCUGUAACGCAGGAUUUAAAGCAUGUGCCUGGUUUUUAUUGACUAGGCUUAUUUCUUGUCAUUGUCUGUUCCCUUACCAUGACCUGAUCGACUAUUCUAAUAAAGAGGUUCUAGCAUUCUCUUUUCAAUACGUC
rnacentral:lncRNA from 1 species